rnacentral:rRNA from 1 species
GGUUAAGCGACUAAGCGUACACGGUGGAUGCCCUGGCAGUCAGAGGCGAUGAAGGACGUGCUAAUCUGCGAUAAGCGUCGGUAAGGUGAUAUGAACCGUUAUAACCGGCGAUUUCCGAAUGGGGAAACCCAGUGUGUUUCGACACACUAUCAUUAACUGAAUCCAUAGGUUAAUGAGGCGAACCGGGGGAACUGAAACAUCUAAGUACCCCGAGGAAAAGAAAUCAACCGAGAUUCCCCCAGUAGCGGCGAGCGAACGGGGAGCAGCCCAGAGCCUGAAUCAGUGUGUGUGUUAGUGGAAGAGUCUGGAAAGGCGCGCGAUACAGGGUGACAGCCCCGUACACAAAAAUGCACAUGCUGUGAGCUCGAUGAGUAGGGCGGGACACGUGGUAUCCUGUCUGAAUAUGGGGGGACCAUCCUCCAAGGCUAAAUACUCCUGACUGACCGAUAGUGAACCAGUACCGUGAGGGAAAGGCGAAAAGAACCCCGGCGAGGGGAGUGAAAAAGAACCUGAAACCGUGUACGUACAAGCAGUGGGAGCACGCUUAGGCGUGUGACUGCGUACCUUUUGUAUAAUGGGUCAGCGACUUAUAUUCUGUAGCAAGGUUAACCGAAUAGGGGAGCCGAAGGGAAACCGAGUCUUAACUGGGCGUUAAGUUGCAGGGUAUAGACCCGAAACCCGGUGAUCUAGCCAUGGGCAGGUUGAAGGUUGGGUAACACUAACUGGAGGACCGAACCGACUAAUGUUGAAAAAUUAGCGGAUGACUUGUGGCUGGGGGUGAAAGGCCAAUCAAACCGGGAGAUAGCUGGUUCUCCCCGAAAGCUAUUUAGGUAGCGCCUCGUGAACUCAUCUCCGGGGGUAGAGCACUGUUUCGGCAAGGGGGUCAUCCCGACUUACCAACCCGAUGCAAACUGCGAAUACCGGAGAAUGUUAUCACGGGAGACACACGGCGGGUGCUAACGUCCGUCGUGAAGAGGGAAACAACCCAGACCGCCAGCUAAGGUCCCAAAGUCAUGGUUAAGUGGGAAACGAUGUGGGAAGGCCCAGACAGCCAGGAUGUUGGCUUAGAAGCAGCCAUCAUUUAAAGAAAGCGUAAUAGCUCACUGGUCGAGUCGGCCUGCGCGGAAGAUGUAACGGGGCUAAACCAUGCACCGAAGCUGCGGCAGCGACGCUUAUGCGUUGUUGGGUAGGGGAGCGUUCUGUAAGCCUGUGAAGGUGUACUGUGAGGUAUGCUGGAGGUAUCAGAAGUGCGAAUGCUGACAUAAGUAACGAUAAAGCGGGUGAAAAGCCCGCUCGCCGGAAGACCAAGGGUUCCUGUCCAACGUUAAUCGGGGCAGGGUGAGUCGACCCCUAAGGCGAGGCCGAAAGGCGUAGUCGAUGGGAAACAGGUUAAUAUUCCUGUACUUGGUGUUACUGCGAAGGGGGGACGGAGAAGGCUAUGUUGGCCGGGCGACGGUUGUCCCGGUUUAAGCGUGUAGGCUGGUUUUCCAGGCAAAUCCGGAAAAUCAAGGCUGAGGCGUGAUGACGAGGCACUACGGUGCUGAAGCAACAAAUGCCCUGCUUCCAGGAAAAGCCUCUAAGCAUCAGGUAACAUCAAAUCGUACCCCAAACCGACACAGGUGGUCAGGUAGAGAAUACCAAGGCGCUUGAGAGAACUCGGGUGAAGGAACUAGGCAAAAUGGUGCCGUAACUUCGGGAGAAGGCACGCUGAUAUGUAGGUGAGGUCCCUCGCGGAUGGAGCUGAAAUCAGUCGAAGAUACCAGCUGGCUGCAACUGUUUAUUAAAAACACAGCACUGUGCAAACACGAAAGUGGACGUAUACGGUGUGACGCCUGCCCGGUGCCGGAAGGUUAAUUGAUGGGGUCAGCGCAAGCGAAGCUCUUGAUCGAAGCCCCGGUAAACGGCGGCCGUAACUAUAACGGUCCUAAGGUAGCGAAAUUCCUUGUCGGGUAAGUUCCGACCUGCACGAAUGGCGUAAUGAUGGCCAGGCUGUCUCCACCCGAGACUCAGUGAAAUUGAACUCGCUGUGAAGAUGCAGUGUACCCGCGGCAAGACGGAAAGACCCCGUGAACCUUUACUAUAGCUUGACACUGAACAUUGAGCCUUGAUGUGUAGGAUAGGUGGGAGGCUUUGAAGUGUGGACGCCAGUCUGCAUGGAGCCGACCUUGAAAUACCACCCUUUAAUGUUUGAUGUUCUAACGUUGACCCGUAAUCCGGGUUGCGGACAGUGUCUGGUGGGUAGUUUGACUGGGGCGGUCUCCUCCUAAAGAGUAACGGAGGAGCACGAAGGUUGGCUAAUCCUGGUCGGACAUCAGGAGGUUAGUGCAAUGGCAUAAGCCAGCUUGACUGCGAGCGUGACGGCGCGAGCAGGUGCGAAAGCAGGUCAUAGUGAUCCGGUGGUUCUGAAUGGAAGGGCCAUCGCUCAACGGAUAAAAGGUACUCCGGGGAUAACAGGCUGAUACCGCCCAAGAGUUCAUAUCGACGGCGGUGUUUGGCACCUCGAUGUCGGCUCAUCACAUCCUGGGGCUGAAGUAGGUCCCAAGGGUAUGGCUGUUCGCCAUUUAAAGUGGUACGCGAGCUGGGUUUAGAACGUCGUGAGACAGUUCGGUCCCUAUCUGCCGUGGGCGCUGGAGAACUGAGGGGGGCUGCUCCUAGUACGAGAGGACCGGAGUGGACGCAUCACUGGUGUUCGGGUUGUCAUGCCAAUGGCACUGCCCGGUAGCUAAAUGCGGAAGAGAUAAGUGCUGAAAGCAUCUAAGCACGAAACUUGCCCCGAGAUGAGUUCUCCCUGACUCCUUGAGAGUCCUGAAGGAACGUUGAAGACGACGACGUUGAUAGGCCGGGUGUGUAAGCGCAGCGAUGCGUUGAGCUAACCGGUACUAAUGAACCGUGAGGCUUAACCUU